CCAAUAGCGUAUAUUAAAGUUGUUGCAGUUAAAAAGCUCGUAGUUGAAUUUCGGGAUUGACGUGAUGGUCAUGCCUUAAGGGGUAUGAACUGUUGCAGUUGAUUUCUCACCUUCUGGAGAAACUUGAUGUCCUUUAUUGGGUGUCUUGCGGAUCCAGGACCUUUACCUUGAAAAAAUUAGAGUGUUUAAAGCAGGCAUUUUUGCUCGAAUACAUUAGCAUGGAAUAAUAGAAUAGGACGGCAUGGUUCUAUUUUGUUGGUUUCUAGGAUCACCGUAAUGAUUAAUAGGGAUAGUUGGGGGCAUUAGUAUUCAAUUGUCAGAGGUGAAAUUCUUGGAUUUAUUGAAGACUAACUACUGCGAAAGCAUUUGCCAAGGAUGUUUUCAUUAAUCAAGAACGAAAGUUAGGGGAUCGAAGACGAUCAGAUACCGUCGUAGUCUUAACCAUAAACUAUGCCGACUAGGAAUCAGACGAUGUUAAUUUUUUAAUGACUCGUUUGGCACCUUACGGGAAACCAAAGUGUUUGGGUC
rnacentral:misc_RNA from 1 species